rnacentral:rRNA from 1 species
AUUGAACGCUGGCGGCAUGCCUUACACAUGCAAGUCGAACGGCAGCACGGGGCAACCUGGUGGCGAGUGGCGAACGGGUGAGUAAUGCAUCGGAACGUACCUUUCAGUGGGGGAUAACGUAGCGAAAGUUACGCUAAUACCGCAUAUUCUGUGAGCAGGAAAGCAGGGGAUCGCAAGACCUUGCGCUGAUUGAGCGGCCGAUGUCAGAUUAGCUAGUUGGUGAGGUAAAGGCUCACCAAGGCGACGAUCUGUAGCGGGUCUGAGAGGAUGAUCCGCCACCCUGGAACGGAGACACGGUCCAGACUCCUACGGGAGGCAGCAGUGGGGAAGUUUGGACAAUGGGGGCAACCCGGAUCCAGCCAUGCCGCGUGAGUGAAGAAGGCCUUCGGGUUGUAAAGCUCUUUCGGCCGGGAAGAAAUCGCACGGGCUAAUACCCUGUGUGGAUGACGGUACCGGAAUAAGAAGCACCGGCUAACUACGUGCCAGCAGCCGCCGUAA